UACGUAGGGUGCGAGCGUUGUCCGGAAUUAUUGGGCGUAAAGGGCUCGUAGGCGGUUUGUCGCGUCGGGAGUGAAAUCCACUGGCUUAACUGGUGGCUUGCUUUCGAUACGGGCAGACUGGAGGUAGGUAGGGGAGAAUGGAAUUCCCGGUGUAGCGGUGAAAUGCGCAGAUAUCGGGAGGAACACCGGUGGCGAAGGCGAGUCCCUGGACAACACCUGACACUGAGGCACGAAAGCUAGGGGAGCAAACAGG
rnacentral:rRNA from 1 species